rnacentral:rRNA from 1 species
CGGCUCAACCCUGGACAGGCAUUGGAAACUGCCAAAACUUGAGUGCAGAAGAGGAAAGUGGAAUUCCCUGUGUAGCGGUGAAAUGCGUAGAUAUAUUGAAGAACACCAACGGCGAAGGCACUUUGCUGGACUGUAACUGACGCUGAUGGACGAAAGCGAGGGGAUCGAACGGGAUUAGAUACCCUGGUAGUCCGCGCCGUAAACGAUGGAUGCUCAGUGUUGGGGGGAGGACCCCCGUAGUGGUGAAAGUAACGCGUUUAGCACCUCGGCUGGGGAGUGCCAACGGAAGAAUGAAAAUCAAAGGAAUUGACGGGGGCCCGGACCAGGGGCGGGAGAUGUGGUUUAAUUCUAUGCAAAGCGAAUAACCUUACCCGGACUUGACAUGCCGCUAAUCCUCUUGAAAUAUAGGCUUCCCCUUUGGUGCGCAGACGCAGGAGGGGUGUG